rnacentral:rRNA from 1 species
UAAUUUUAAUUAUUAAUUUUUUUAAAAGAAAAAAAUUUUUUAUUUAAGUAGUUUUUUGAAAUAAUUUUAGUUAUUAUAAUUUAUUAGUAAAGUAAUUGAAUUUAAAAAAUAUUUAUUUAAGAAUAAUUUAUUUUUUGUACCUUGUGUAUCAGGGUUUAUUAAAUAAUAAUAAUAAAUAUUAAUUUCUCGGUAAUAAAAGAGUUAUUUAAUUAUAAAUUUUAAUGUAAAAUAAUUAUUUAAAAUAAUUAAAUAGAAGUGAAAUGUUAGUCGAUUUUAUAUAUAUCUAGUUUUUAAGGAAAAAAAUUUAAUUUUUUAUUUUUUAUUGAUAUUAUAUGUUUAUGUAUAAAUAUUAUUAUUAAAGAAAAAAAAUUUUAGGGAUAAGCUUAAAAUUUAAAUAUUAAAAAUUUACUUUAUUUUGUAUAUAAAUAGAAUUAGAAAUUUUCAUUUUUAUUAGUUUGUUAAAAUUAAUAUUUUUAUUAUUAAAAAUUUAUAUAAAUUUUAAAUUUUUUAUUUAAAUAAUUUAAUUAAUUAUAAGUUAAAUGAAAUUAUGAUAAAAUUAGUAUAAAUAAAUGUAUUUUUAUUUAUUUUUUUUAGGUAAUUUAAAGGAAUUCGGCAAAAUUUAUUAUUUGCUUGUUUAUUAAAAACAUCGUUUUUUGUUAAAAAUUUAAGAUUGAGCCUGCCCAAUGAAUAUUAAAUGGCUGCAGUAUAUUGACUGUACAAAGGUAGCAUAAUAAUUAGUUUCUUAAUUAGGAACUGGUAUGAAUGGUUUGACAAAAUAAUUUCUGUCUCUAGAUUAAUUUAUUUUAAAAUUUUAUUUUUAAGUUAAAAAGCUUAAAUUUAUUUAAAAGACGAGAAGACCCUAUAGAGUUUUAUAAUUUUAUUUAUUUUAUAAUUUUUAGUUUUAUUAAUUUAUUUUUAUAAAAUUAAUUAGUUGGGGUGAUUUAAAAAUUUAAUAAACUUUUUAUAUAAAAUUCAUUUAUUUAUGAUUUUAUGAUCCAUUUAUUAUGAUUAAAAGAAAAAAUUACCUUAGGGAUAACAGCGUAAUUUUUUAAAAAGUUCUAAUUAAAAAAAAAGAUUGCGACCUCGAUGUUGGAUUAAAUAAAAAAUUUGGUGCAGAAGCUAAAUUAUUAAGUCUGUUCGACUUUUUAAAAUUUACAUGAUCUGAGUUUAGACCGGCGUGAGCCAGGUUAGUUUCUAUCUUUAGAAAAUUAAAUUUAUUUUAGUACGAAAGGAUUAAGUAAAGUUAAUAUUUAAUUUAAUUGAAUAAAAUUAAUU